rnacentral:rRNA from 1 species
AAUCAACGCUGGCGGCGUGCCUCAGACAUGCAAGUCGAACGAUUAAGACUUCCUUCGGGAAGUGUAUAAAGUGGCGCACGGGUGAGUAACACGUAAGUAAUCUACCUUCGAGUGGGGAAUAACAUCGGGAAACCGAUGCUAAUACCGCAUAAUGCAGCGGCAUCGCAAGAUGACAGUUGUUAAAGGAGCAAUUCGCUUGAAGAGGAGCUUGCGGCAGAUUAGCUAGUUGGUAAGGUAAUGGCUUACCAAGGCUACGAUCUGUAUCCGGUCUAAGAGGACGGUCGGACACACUGACACUGAAUAACGGGUCAGACUCCUACGGGAGGCAGCAGUCGGGAAUCUUGGGCAAUGGGCGAAAGCCUGACCCAGCAACGCCGCGUGAGGGAUGAAGUAUUUCGGUAUGUAAACCUCGAAAGAACGGGAAGAAUAAAUGACGGUACCAUUUAUAAGCUCCGGCUAACUACGUGCCAGCCGCCGCGGUAAGAC